rnacentral:rRNA from 1 species
AAAAAAGGAGGUGGAAUAGGAUUUUGGGACCUUUAUUGUUUUAACCUUGCCAUGUUGGCAAGACAAGCGUGGAGGAUCUUAACCACACCUGAAUCCUUGUGUGCCAAGGUACUGAAGGCCCGCUAUUUUCCGACCACUUCGAUCCUUGACGCGGAGCCAAGCCGUGGGAUUUCAAACACCUGGCGUAGCAUACUGGAAGGAGUUGAACUCUUGAAAAAAUGA